rnacentral:lncRNA from 1 species
GGGGUCACUUUGGAGGCAUGAAUUGAGCCAGAUUAUUAGUAAAAUGCCUUCCAACUGUGAGCUUCUGUGCUGUGUAGGCGAUAGGAGGGCCUGGAUCUUGUGUGGGGAUCUCUCUACUCAUGCAGGCCUUAAGAAGGUGAGGAAACAGAGACCUGGAGAGAAUAAAUGGCUUGUUGAGCCCAGGAUGGCCCUGGGAUUGGCUUUGGGGUUCUGCCUUCCUCCUCCUGACUCCACCAUGGAUCCCACACUCUGGGCCGGUGAAUGGUGGCUAACCUACAAGAUGUUUAAAUGCGGAGUGGACUUCCUUAUUCCCUCAGCAGAUUGACCCAAAAGGGGAAAAAAGAGAAAAACAAAAUCCAUCCAAAGCCCAGUGACCAUCCCUCAGUGUCUGGGCUGGGCAGCUCCCAAAAGAAAACCUGGCCAAGGGAUAUGCACAGAAUUACUUUUUCUCUUUUUGCUUCCUGGCAGCUACAAAUUAGGAAGAAGGAAAGCAGGAAGGAGACAAAAUGUUUGUUAAUUGAAAAUUUGAAAAAUAAAAUUUACCAAAGCCAAACUUUAUUCUAUGGCUUCUUAAUCUUUUCUAUUGUGGAUUCCUAGGGCAGUCUGGUGAAUCCUAUGGACUCUUUCUCAGAAUCAUAUUCUAAAUGUACACAAUAAAAUACAGAGAAUUACAAAAAUUAUUGAAAUG